UACGGAGGGGCUAGCGUUGUUCGGAAUUACUGGGCGUAAAGCGCACGUAGGCGGCUUUGUAAGUUAGAGGUGAAAGCCCGGAGCUCAACUCCGGAAUUGCCUUUAAGACUGCAUCGCUAGAAUUGUGGAGAGGUGAGUGGAAUUCCGAGUGUAGAGGUGAAAUUCGUAGAUAUUCGGAAGAACACCAGUGGCGAAGGCGACUCACUGGACACAUAUUGACGCUGAGGUGCGAAAGCGUGGGAGCAAACAGG
rnacentral:rRNA from 1 species